CAAGUCGAACGAGAAAGUGGAGCAAUCCAUGAGUACAGUGGCGUACGGGUGAGUAACACGUGGGUAAUCUACCUUUUAGUGAGGAAUAACCGAGGGAAACUUCGGCUAAUACCGCAUAAGCCUGAGAAGGGAAAGCAGAAAUGCGCUGAAAGAGGAGCCCGCGGCCGAUUAGCUAGUUGGUGAGGUAAGAGCCCACCAAGGCAGAGAUCGGUAGCCGGCCUGAGAGGGCACACGGCCACACUGGCACUGAAACACGGGCCAGACUCCUACGGGAGGCAGCAGUGGGGAAUCUUGCACAAUGGGGGAAACCCUGAUGCAGCGACGCCGCGUGAGCGAUGAAGCCCUUCGGGGUGUAAAGCUCUUUCGUCAGGGAAGAUAGUGACGGUACCUGGAGAAGCAGCUGCGGCUAACUACGUGCCAGCAGCCGCGGUAAUACGUAGGCAGCAAGCGUUGAUCGGAGUUACUGGGCGUAAAGGGUGUGUAGGCGGUUCUUUAAGUUUGCUGUGAAAUCUCCCGGCUUAACCGGGAGGGUGCGGUGAAUACUGAGGGACUAGAGUACGGGAGAGGAAAGUGGAAUUCCUGGUGUAGCGGUGAAAUGCGUAGAUAUCAGGAGGAACACCGGUGGUGUAGACGGCUUUCUGGACCGACACUGACGCUGAGACACGAAAGCGUGGGUAGCAAACAGGAUUAGAUACCCUGGUAGUCCACGCCCUAAACGAUGCAUAUUUGGUGUGGGCAGUUCAUUCUGUCCGUGCCGGAGCUAACGCGUUAAAUAUGCCGCCUGGGGAGUACAGUCGCAAGGCUGAAACUCAAAGGAAUUGACGGGGGGCCCGCACAAGCGGUGGAGCAUGUGGUUCAAUUCGACGCAACGCGAAGAACCUUACCUGGGCUCGAACGGCUUCUCAACGGCGGUGGAAACACUGUUACCCCGCAAGGGGGUGGAGUCGAGGUGCUGCAUGGCUGUC
rnacentral:rRNA from 1 species